AAGUCGUAACAAGGUUUCCGUAGGUGAACCUGCGGAAGGAUCAUUACUGAUUUGGCGGACCGAGCGUCAGCGAGGUUCCGCGAUCACUUGUAUUUAAAACCCACACUUUGAACGUAUAUGUAUAUUUUUGUAUUUUUUAAUAAUAAAAGAUCACUUUCAACAACGGAUCUCUUGGCUCUC
rnacentral:misc_RNA from 1 species